AGGACGAACGCUGGCGGCGUGCUUAACACAUGCAAGUCGAGCGGUGACCCUCCUUCGGGAGGUGAUCAGCGGCGAACGGGUGAGUAACACGUGGGCAACCUGCCCCUCACACUGGGAUAACCUCGGGAAACCGGGGCUAAUACCGGAUACGACCUCGAGCGGCAUCUCUUGAGGUGGAAAGCUCCGACGGUGAGGGAUGGGCCCGCGGCCUAUCAGCUUGUUGGUGGGGUAAUGGCCUACCAAGGCGACGACGGGU
rnacentral:rRNA from 1 species